UCUGAACAUGUUUCUGGUUGACACUCCAGGUUGUCGCUGGCAUGAACUACAUCUUCACUGUGAAGUUGGGCAGAACCAACUGCAAAAAGGGUGGAGUUGAGACCCUGUGUGCCAUUCAUAAGGAUCCCAAAGUUGCACGGGUCAUUCAGUGCAAAAUAACGGUCUGGAGCCAGCCAUGGUUAAACUUCCUUAAAGUCACUGAAAAAACCUGCAUUUAGAGCGUGACGAGUGCAGUUUGGGGCUUUUUAACAUUUCAAGCGGCAAUAAAAUGUACUUGCUGUU